UGCAUUGUUAGUAUGGCGAUGACAGGCAAAAGCUCAGAUUUGAAACCUUCGGGAUUGUAGUCUGGAGAUCGGUGAUUGGAUUGCUGGCCAAGUUCCCUGGAAUGGGACGCCAUGGAGGGUGACAGCCCCGUAGCAGCGCCAUUGUAAUCACCGUUCGACGAGUCGAGUUGUUUGGGAAUGCAGCUCUAAGUGGGUGGUAUGCUCCAUCUAAAGCUAAAUAUUGGCGAGAGACCGAUAGCGAACAAGUACUGUGAAGGAAAGAUGAAAAGAACUUUGAAAAGAGAGUGAAAUAGUACGUGAAAUUGUUGAAAUGGAAGGCAAUGCGCCGCGAUUGACGCCCGCGCUUGGCGGCAGGACAAAAGCGCAGACCGCUUCGGCAUUGUCUGCGUCCCUACUGCUAGCUGGGCCAGGGCGUCUAACAACGGCGUACUGCACCCGUCUUGAAACACGGACCA
rnacentral:rRNA from 1 species